CCCUCCGCCGGGUCCUACAUGGGGGUCAGUCCUGGCGGGGCUGAGCGGGGAGAGGCGAGAAGGGAGGGGGGCUGGAAACUUUCUUUCUCUCUGCGAGGAAGAAGAAGAGGAACGAGGCGAGCAGGAAGGCUGGGCCAUUGUCCACAGAGGGUGCAUUUUUGUCAAGCUGGCGUUGGUUGCUAUAGUGAGGAGGAAAGGGGGGAGAGAGAGGAGGGAAAGGGAAAGAAAAAAAAGCACCCGACCCUAAACCAAACAGAGGAGCACAGUUCGCCUUCCUCCGCUCUCCCGGCUCCAGCCCGCAGCUCUGCCCGCUUCCAACCAAAAUAAAAGCGCUCCGUGGGCCGCCCCGGGCUCCCGGCGGGGCGAGGCCCCUCGGCACCCUCGGCCCCACCGUGAGCCUCGCCUCGUCCCGCGCCGCCCCGCACCCGCGCAUCCCCCGCCGCGGGCAGCGGGUGCGAUCCGAGCGCUCCGGGCUGCGGAGCGGCCAACGCGCAGCGCCGCGGGGAGUCCCGAGUCACCCGGCCCCGCACCGCACCUGAUCCCGCGCCUCCUCGCUCGGGCACAGCUUCGCACCCUGCGGAGCAUCCGUGACACGGAUGCUGACACGAGCUGCGUGGGCUUUCGGGGGGUGUUUUGUGACAAGUUAAAUUGCAGCUGAAGGAGAGAGGUGCCCUGCUUUCCAAGGGGUUCCUCAGCCUAGAAUUGGACUCCAAGUUAUAAUAAUUACAAUCCUGAUACAUGGACACCUCAGAAGGAGUGCGUGACCAGCCUCAACCUGCUGACAGAAAAUGGAAAGAUCUCCUUGUGCUGUUUUCUCUGCAGAACUGAUUGGAUGGGGAUUGCUGUCUAUCAGGUGACAAGGGAACCCUCCAGCUUGCAGAAGAAGAACCCUGAGGCUUUUGAUGUUCAUACAACUCUGUGCUGAGAGUCUCUUUUCCUGAGUCCAGAUCGCCAGUCAACAGACCCACCUCCAGAGUUUCAGCAAGGAAGAGCAAUGGAAAUGAAGUUAACUGACUGAAAAGAGCUGAAGGCAGGUUGCUCUAAUUAUGCAGGUAGUGUUUCCAACACUGUUGUGUCUGCCUUCUCCCAAAGAGUGGUUUGGAUGGAAAGACUGAAGGACCACCCAUCAUUAAUGCCCUUACAAAAGUUGUUCCCUCUCCCUCUGCUGCUGAAGCAAAGGCAAAAACUCCAACUGAUUUCAAGAGGAACAGGAUUGGGCCCUUAGGCUGUACAUAAGUGUCUGUGUUGGAAAAGAGAAUGUACAAUGUUGGAUGCUUCUUGUAAUAUAAGAUUAGAUCAAAUCCUUUCAGUGCCCUGAAGCUUUAUACCUUACUGCUGGGCUACCUGUGGCAGAUAGCGAGUGAAUGCCUGUCAGUAUGGAUCAUCCUCUCAGCACUCACUAAAAAUGUACAAUUCUCAUUUUGUAGCACUUGAGACUUUUUAAAAGUAGUCUAGUGGGAAUAGACUGUUGCAUCAAGACAAGUAGCUUCAAUUUGUACCUGAUUGUUGGUGUAUUCAAGGUAUUUUAUACAUAGCGACAAGCAAUCAAUGGACAUCCAGAAAAUCACUUAGUUGUUAGUCUUCCUAUCAAGGUGCAUGAAAAUUAUAUGUAGCUAGUUUAAGAGAAUGGUUCACCAGACAAGUAAACUCGUAUUUUCAACAAAGGCAAAAAUAUGCUGAUGUUAAAGUUAUUUCCCCCAUCCCAUCUCUAAUCUACCUGUGAAGGAAACGUUCUCAAUGGAGUGUGACCUUGUUUUGUGAGCAUUCAGUAGCCACAGCUGUGCGGAGCUCUAUAAACUGUUCCCUUGCUGUUGGACUUGGUGAUCGACUCUAGUGUCUCCUGCACACCUUGUCUCCUGGUGGCAGUGAGAACCCAUGAGCUCUACCAGCCCCAGAGACUGCAUAGCCAUGGUGGGAGAUUGGGAAAUACUGUGAUUAGACCUAAUGAGAGCAAAAGAGAACACACAGAAAAAUAAUUACACCUUAACAUGUGUUGUAGGAGCCUCCCUGGAGUGUUUGGAAUCCCAAAUCCUACUGACUUUGGGCAGUUGACUGGAUCUUUCCCAGGUGCACUUCUGUGUUUUAGCACAGAGCUUUGCCUUUUUGUUUUCACACACCAUCUUACCCGAAUAGUCACACUGUAGGGAUCUGAGAAUUCCUAGAAAGCAGGCAUGACUUCAUACCAAGCCAAAAGUAGUGAGUGUGACAGACCUGGGCAGGUGGCACAGGGUGGCUUAAGAGAGCUGCACUCUCUUCUCCCCUAAAAUAGUGAGCCUUCAGGUAUCUUGCCUUCAUAUCUCAGGCUGUCCCCACACGCUGGGUGGAGAGAGUGCUGCUACGUGCAGAACUGGCAUGUGGUCUUGGGCAUGGUCAUGCCAACAAAGAACACUGCAGAGAGCUGCUCAGCAGCACUUGGGCUUUGCCUCCACCUAAUUUGCAAGCACAGACACUUCACCGAAUGAUGCCCAGAUACCUUCCAACAGAGGACAAAUCUGUGCCGGGCUCACAGGCUGAGGUUGCAGAGGCGAACUCUGAAGACUUCUGGCUUUCUCUCUGCCCUGCAUUUCACGUAAGAGUCAGACAGAGCUGAAAUGGGGCAAAGCAUUUCCACGUCACACUUUCAUGACUGGAAUUUUGAGCCACUCAUUUUUUUUGGAAUUAAAAGCUGCUUUUUACAUAAGUAAUAUACAAUAAGUUGGUGAAUACCAAUUAAAAGCAUAUUUCACAAAAUUAGACUUUCUGUUGCCUGUUCUAUUGAAUAUCAGUUGGUAAUAAGCCUUCCUCAUUUCCCUGAGCAUGUAAUUUUUCCCUUGAAUUCUUGAGUCACUGCUUUGAUCACUUUUUGAUUGCUUAAAGGCUGUGAGUCAGUAAUAUUUCCCAGUUUUGUUGUCACAUCAAAGAUUUUUGAGGGGCUUUCUCCAAUAGAAGGCAGCCAAGGUUCCUGGUUGACAUAGUUCAUCACCAUGCUGAAGCUAUGCUGCGCAAAUGAAAAUAGGGAAUAAUGCAUCACCUUUAGCCAUUUGUACAUCAUUUGAAUAAUAUGCAUCACCUCCUUAAAUGGGCCAGUUGCUGUGCAGCAUUUUUAUUCCUCCAAUUUUUACACUUAAAAAUAUGGAGGGCAAAUGUUAAACAGAAAAGGCGAUUUUUAUCCAGACAUACUGAUGAAUGGAAGGAAGAGCAGUUGCUUUCCUCUGUUUUCAGACUUUUGCUGUUGCUUUAUUUGUGCAUAUAUGAUGAAAAAUUCUGGCACUGAAAAUCCUCACAUUUUACAGAAACAGCAUUUAAUGUAAUAAAUGCAAAGCAUGACAAAGGCCCUGAACAAUAUAAAUCAUUUGCACAGGAUUCAGACUUUCAGUUUGGUACAGCAGCUCAUAUCCCAUGGCAGUUUUGAUCAGCCUAGAUGGUUGAUGUACCUCACCGGAGCACACCAGAUCCUGACAUGAUUGCUCUGCUUUUGUUUAGGAUCCUCUUUGGCAAAACUCGGGCAGAAUUCCAAAGGCUCUGGGUCUGAGCAAGAUACGGGCCAAAUUACCAUUGAGGCCGACAGCCAGACAGGGCUUUCCUUGGUUUGUAGCAAGGGGGAAAGUCUAUUUCCUGAUCAGCUGCUGUGACCCAGGUGGUCUGUGGGGGUUGAUCAAUGAAGCCUCUGGACUUUCAUCUUUGGAUGCAAAACUUUGCAACACUGAAAGAAGGGCAUCACAUCCAUCUCACCUGAGCUGUGUGAAUCUUCAUUUUCUUUCCUUGGUGGGAGAGUCAGGGUGUGCCCAAGCACCCCUUUGUGAUAUGUUUGGAGUCCCAUCUUCCACAGAGGGAGAAGUGGGUGGGGAAAGAGACUUGUUUUGGUAUUACCUGAAGGCAAAAGAUGUCUCUGAAGAAGGAUAUGAAGUUUGUGGGAAAUUCAAAUUCUUCAAGAGCUGCAAGUAGUUCCAGUAUGAACUUUGCUGCCGUCAUUCCUGGAGCAAACGAAUUACAAUGGGAAAGUAUUUAAAGGGAUACUAUCAUCUUACAGCUCCUGUGUUGCAAACUAACAAAUGCCUUUAUCUGUGUUACAAACCCCACCUUAAGGUUAUUAAAAGCGAAGGAAUUUUUAAAAAUCCAAUUUACUUGUCACUCUUUCUGCUUUGUUUACUGGUUGUGUUUUCUCACUGUAGACAAUAGAAAUCAAUGAAGUCAGGUUUGCUUGCAUUUGAGUCACUUUCACUUUUGGGUUUUCAGGUUUAGGGCAGAAAGUUCAGGGGAAUGGUUAUUUCAUCAAAUACAACUGUUUUCACAUGUAAUUAAAAAAAUCAAUGGCAAUGUUUCUAUUCAGACAUAUGUUUUGUAAAAGUCUGCUUCUUUGAGAUUUAAACUUUGGACCAACCUCGGCAGUGUCUUUUGAAAGAUGUAACUAAGUAAGAUCUAGUGGCAAUAAAAAUAAUACUUUUCAUUAUUAUUGCAGAUAUGAGACAAGUUAUACAGCAGAACCCUAUUUUUAUAGGUAUUGUAUAAAUAAGGGAUAAAUACGGUCAUAGCCUCUGAAACAAGGGCUAGGUAUGUUCCUAACAAGAGCGAGGGUAAUGAGAUAGUAAUAUUCAGCAUGAGCCAUGAUAUCAGCAGCCUGAGAAAACACAGUUCUUGUUGAUAACAUGGCAAAGGCUGUUCUGCAAAGGGAUAUGGAAGCACAUAAAGGAGUAACUUUGCAGAUAUUUACAUGAGAUUCUCAUAAGCACAAGGGGCAGCUUUUGAUCAAAGGAUUUAAAUCUGGGUGAAUCUAAAUGUGUUUUUUUUCCUGUGCUGGAGUUCUCUAUUCUGUGCUACAGCAAAAGUGCUCAAUUUAGAUCCUCAUAAUAGUAUGCAAAACUUGCAAAAUAUAUCCCAGCUGGGGCAUGCUCUCUAGGUAAGGCUUCCUUCAUUCUCCAGCAAGACUUCGAUUCAGGGAUUUCCUGAGAGCGUGAAACACAGAAUAACAAGUGCCGAUUGCCUUCUGAAAAGGAGCCCUAACCUUCUGCUGCCACCCAUGUCAGAAAGGAUUUCAGGAUUGGGCUUAGAGCUUCUAUUUUCUAUUUAUUUCAGCCUUGU